rnacentral:misc_RNA from 1 species
GAGGAGCAAUGACGAGCGAAGGAAGNNAGGGGUCCUUGGAGAAUCACAUGGUAGGUACUUGGGCCACGUCCAAUGACCCCACGGUUCUGGAUCCCCUCUUUCGGGUUCCCGCAUCCCCCUAUUACGACCCCCCGGAGGGGUUCUGGGUUUGAACUUUUAUUCGCACAUUUCAUGGUUAUUGAUUCUACUAAUUAUCCAUCGCAUGCAUUAUUUAAUGUUUCUUGGAAUUCUGCUUAAUCAUUACUUCUCUGAUUUCGCUGUGUUCUUCCUCGUUGCCUGAAGGGCAAGAUUGUCCGAUGAAAGUUUCGAUUCUUUUUGAAUUUUUGGGGGUCGGGGUUGGGGACUUCGCGAACCCCUAAAUACGGAAUCCCGGUCGUUGGUUCCUCGGGGGGGCGCCUGGUUCCGGGGCUGCGCAGCACCUGGGGCGACUCCCCGCGGAAGCGCGGGUUGGCCAUGGCCCACAUUGGCCCGGGGUGUGAAAUGCUGACCUCGGAUCCCGGGGGAAUCCCCCCAGAAGAUACCUUGUUACUCUUUUUUAUUU